ACAAAGAGCUGCCGGGCAAAACGCUUCCUGGGAAUUACCUCCGGAGCUGCGCUGCUGAUGAAGCUGUUUGCAGCCCCUUGAAAUGCUGACCACCGCUGCAUCUCCUGCGGGGUGGACGGACGCGAAGUUUUUAGCAUGGGAACGUGCCCCGUGGAGCCAGGCGCCGCGUUAACAGAGCAGCCUCGCGCCGCGGAGCUGCCGAGGGCUAGAGGAAGGGGUUUGCAGCGCAUGGGGGACGUGGGUGGGAAAAUACUCCUGGGGAGGAGCGGUGGAGAAACCACGGUGCCAUUAACGCUGAUCAGAAUUUGCAGUUGGCUGCCCGGUUCCCCACCGAAAGUAGCCACGGGGCUUGGAGAGGGAUCGGCUGGGUUAGCACCAAAACACCAGGAGGGCUGCGUGUUCCUGGGUGAACUUGGUUCGCCUUCCCGUUCCUGUAAAUUCCCCCUAAAGGGGGAGAAGGCGGCAAUGCAAAUACUUCGUACGCUUUUAAUGCCAUUCACUUUCGGGAAACUGGUGAUGGAGUGAUGAAAUGGUGCAAAAAAAAUCCAGCGGAGGUACCAAAUGAUGAGAAAUCCAGCAGAGGUGCUAAGCUAAACUCACACUGCUGCUGGUGACCUGGGAGUCCCUUUGGCUGCCCUGUAGGGCACGGUUAUAGGGACCUGGGCUGUGGCGGAGAAGAAGGCAGACCCGGCACAUUUCUCCAGGUCAUGCUGUUGUCUGACAGGGCUUGGAGCAAUUUGAGCUAGUUUAAAGAUCUGAAAAGUCUUGAUUAUUUGUUCUGUUGUGCAGAACGUGUGUUGUCAAGUUGUCAUAAAGCAAACACCAGCCGGUUGUUUGACGUGAGUAUGGCCUUUUUUUUUUCUUUUUUUCCCAGUUACAGCAUAUGGCCUAGUAAAAGACAGAGCUCUCCUCAUAUUUUCUGGCCUUCCUAAAAUGCCUUUGCAGCUUGUUUCGUAGGGAAGAGCGUACAUAACCCUCCUUCGUGCAAAAACCAGUCUGGCUCCGAGAUGCGGCUGUAUCUGGGGUGGUGCCUGGUGACUUCAGCAUUCGCUCACGCUGCUACCUUUUAAGACAGAAGGUAAUAAAAUGAUGAUUCCAAGCAAAUAAGAUUACAUGACGAAUUGAGGCAGGCCGAAUUUGUGGCCAGGCUACCGAGGGGAGCAGGCGGGCAGCUUAAGGAAGCCGAAGCUCCUUAACCUCGCAUCCGAUCCCAGAGAGCACCUGGCAGUGUGCUGCUGCCCCUCGCGCCCGUGGCUCGGAGCUGAUUUACAGCAAAGUAUGCCAUCUGCUGAUUCUCCAGGACCGCUUCCUCCCGUGUCCUGCCUCUUCUCUUCCUCCCGUUCGGAUGCUGACCGCGCCUGAUGCUCAGCUGCCUUCACAAAACCUGAUAAGGUCGCGUCCUGAGGGAGAGGUGACCUUACCUGUGGGAAGUGCAGGAGUGCCUCACCACGUCGGGAGGAAGGUGGGAAGGGCAUGUGUGUAUUAAACUCCAUCCCCAAAUUGUACUGAGGGAUCUGUCUGUGUGUUAACAGCUAAUUAAUUUGCAUCCCGGUUACGCAUCUCGGCAGAUAAAGCUGAUGCAGACGAAAAUGAAUUGCAUUAUCACUCUUUGACUACUAGCAAACGGGAUUUCAGGGAAAACAAAGAAAAUCCCUGGUUUCUCUGUGGUGCCUUUGGCUCGUCAAGGUUGGCCUUUGCCACCGGACCUGCUGAGCUCCUGUUCGGUAGGAUUUUAGCACCGAGCUUCCCAUCUCACAAAGGGUUAAGCAGGCAAACUGCUGCUGAAGUUUGAAGACAGCCUCUUAAAUAUUUAAUGACAGUCUAAAUAUAUACAUAUGUACAAAGUGCUUUAAACAAAGGCAGAAUUCAUGUACAGGCCUAACUGGUUCCAAAUAAUUGCUUUUUGGAAGGUAACAGAAGUGGCUAUGGAUACCGAAAGAAAUGCAGGAAUGCAGCGUUUCAGUACAGCCAGAUGCAGAGGAGAGAUCUGCACCACAACGGGGAUCUUUCUAGGAAAGUCGGUGGUGUUUGUGGUGUUUCCCCCGAUGGGUGAACAACCCUGCCUCCAGAAGAUGGAGCGAGCAGCAGUGAUGGCAUCCAAAAAUGCCAGGUUUCAUCGGAAGCCCAUUCGAGUGUUCCCUGCUCUUACCUGUGCAGGAUAGCUGAGGUUGGUGUUGGUAACGAAAUGUUGGUGGGGGAGGACACGGCUAAUGAGCAGAGUCAAAGAAAGGAGGAAAGAAAAGGGGGAAGUGAGCAAAAAACCGUGGUUUUGGGCAGAUGUGAUUUUUUUUCUUGUGGUGGAGGGCAGCCAGUGUACGGCACCUCGGCGGGACACGGGGUAUCUGCUGUGGGUUCGUGUGGGAAGGCUCCCAGCUGAACACGUUGCGGGUGCUUUCGGUGAUCCCUGGUGCCCCGUGGGCUUACCUGGUGUGCACUCUGCUGGUGGAACGGGUGUCAGCCACUGCUGCACCUCCUGCCGUGGAAGUGGUGUCCUGGGCAAAGGGUACAGGGAUGUGUGCUGAGCACGGGCUGGGAAGAAAAGCGACUUUCAGUUUUGUUUCCUUCCCCACCAGGAGUAAAAUACACAUAUAGAGGAAAAAAAAAGAAGUGGUAGACACUAGGGGUGAGUUUGCCGCUCACAAGGCUGGCAGGAAAACACGAAGUGAGGCUGAGGCAUGCCCGCCGAGCAUGUGAUGAUAAUCUAGAUGUUGCACGCGCGUGUACGUGCAUGUUCUGAGCAAGAAAUUCUUGGGUUUUCAGCAUCUCGAGCUUCAGCGUGUUGUAGUAAAGCAUAAAUGCCCCCUUUAACCACUUAAAGCGUUAUUUUCAGAAUUAUUUAGAAGGUUUUCUGAGUUAGCAGCUAUUUAGGACAGGGCUGAAAGAGAAGUCAUCCGUCAUCCAGGGUCGUGGCAGCUGAUGUCCAGGACAGAUCUGUUCCCGAAUCCGGCGAGCUGCACUGAGCCGGGAACAGGCCCACGGAUCCGAAAUAUCACCAGGCCGCUGCUGGAGCUUGGAUGCAGCUCAAGAACUACUGAGAGAGCUUGGGCAUUUUCCCAGAGUAUCUUGGCUCCUGCAGAGACCAGUCCCCAUCAGCCUGCUUUUUUAUUUUAAUAUCAAUUUUCAAGGAUCUGGAGACCUGCCUGUUCUCACAAGGCGUUUAUUCCAGAGCACGGGGAGCAGGUAAGUAUCGACGUGCUCCCCUGCACCUGAAAUGUGCUGUACUGCCUUCCUCCCCCUGCUCUCCGUACCGAUCUCAGCAUCCUCGUGUGCAGGUGGGGAAGGAUUCUAGGUUCCCACAGAGGACGGAGCUGCCUGGCGUUCCCGAAAGGCACCAAAGGGACGCGGGUGCUGGCUGUCCACACGUGGCGUGGCUGCAGCCGCCCUGCCUGUGGCCAGCCUCUCUCCUAACCUCAACUCCUUUUCUUGUGGGGCAAGGUGUUGUUAUAAUCACUUGCUCCAGGCUUUUCGGCAUCUCUUCUGCCCAGCAUCUAAUCCGAGGCUCUGCGGUGACAACAAAUUGCAGUGGAUGGCUGGCUGGUCCAGCCCCUUCUUUCCUGUAGGCAGAAAUGUAGGUGAAAACUGCUUUUACUUUUUGAAGAGAAUCGUUCUGGGGUAAUUUAUUGGUAAAUAAUCACCGUGUUUGGCAGCACUCGAACCCAAAAGUGGUUGUAGCCAUUGUUUUCACAUUUAGCAGAAUUAAAUCCCAAACGGGCGAGUUGGAAGCUCUCUGAGCCCCGAGCAAAGCCGAGCCAAAAGCCCUGUUUGCAUCCUGCUGUCCAGCCACGACUGAGACUUGCUGUGCCCCUGCCUUCUCGCCCUGUGGGGCACAUCUGCUGGCCUGGGUUGGUUUGAGUAAGGCCUUAGCGAUGUGUCCUCGAGGUUUUAAUCAGAAAAUAAGGGUAAACGUGCUCUCUGAGAUGUGUAUGAUUGCGUAUCCACGUAGUGUUGGGAAAGUCGUUUGAGGUUUGAGUUUGACUGCUGGAAAUAAUCCUUUUCUCCCAUAUUCAGCCCACUGGAAAGGCAAACGGCAGGCGUCUGUGAGCGGGAAGUGAAUGAAGCUGGUGGGCACGGAGCGCGUAUUUGCUCAGCAGAUGUGAGUCGGGAGACUGCGCCGUAAUCUGGUGAUUUCUGCAGUAUUACCUGCGACUCCUUUCCCGUCCUCGCUGCAGGGUUUCUUUUCAGCAAAUCCACUGCGUUUUGUGGUCUUGGGUAAACAAACCAUUUUGCUAACCAGAGCGAAGUAGUCGGUGGGUACACAGACAGCCGGCUCCGAAGGAAGUUAAGCGACGUGCUGCGAGGGUGGCUGAUUUCCCAAGGACUUGGCUGUGGCUGGAGGAUGAUGCAAGCUGCAUCCUCCUGUCCCUGCUUGCACGGAGAGGCGUUCAGCGCUCAGGAAUGCAUAACUUUAGGUUAUGGUUAAGGUCCUGCAGCUUUCCAGGUUGCUGGGGAUUUGGGGCCGUAGGGGUGUCCUGGCCAGAGCGCUCCCUGAAGGAGUGAAUCGAAAAUGAGAACAAAAGAGAGGAGAUUUGUUUCACUUGAGAAAAGGGAAGUAAUGCUUCAAGAAAUGAAGGCCCUGGCUCAGCAAAAUUUUGUGCCUAGCUGCUCUGUGGAGAAAGGAGCAUGUGCAGUUAGAUGGCUUCCCAAAUGGGAUGUGACUUUCUGAAACAGUGUCGUGUAUUGGAAGUAGGGAAACACAACUUUCAGCCAGCCAUGGGGUUAGGGCUCCUCAGCAACGGGAGGAAAGCGAUGCCAUUUUCUGUAAACACUGCAUUUCCCCUGCUCAUCUCUCCCACCCCCCUCUUGUUGAGGUGUAGCCUCGGUUUUUCAGGUGCUCUAGUGCCACCUCUGUGGAGGGGGUGUGGAUCUGGAAUUAAGCAGGUGCUGACCUGGAAGAUGCCCCUGUGGGGGUGUUUCUGCUGGCCAGGCGAGGCUCCUGGUUCAUGAUGCAGUAGGAGAGGCUUCCCAGUGCUCCUGCAGUCCCGUUGGUGGCUGCUAUGGGACCUCCUCCUCUUCCCAUGGGCAGCUGCCAUCCAUGGCCAGCCUUGCCCCGGGCCAAGUCAUCGCGUUUCCAUCCCCCUUCAAAAUGGGGAAGAACGCUUUGCUUCCCAUGAGCAUUUUUGGAGAUUACUUUAGAGGGUUUUAGAGGAAGUGUUGUGUAAAACUGAAGUACAGUUCGUUAAUAUUUACCAUGUCCCCUUCUCAGAAAACAUCUGAAUUGUGACUUCCCAAUAAAAAGGGAUGGUCAUCCGAGGGAGACGUUGUCUGUGCUAGUGAGUGGCAGUCCCCACAAGAACUUACUUAGGGUUUUUUGGUUUUCAUGGAUGGGGAUGAAUGGCCAUUUGUAAUUUAUGAAUCUUUUGGCUCUCCUCACCUCACUCAGACCUGCCCCACAUCUCUGCUCAUCCUGGUGCCUCUCCCGAGGGCUCCUGUGCUGAACCUGCUUUAACCGCUAUGGACUUUCAUCCCCAUGAUGGCUUCUGGUUCAGAAAUACACAAAAACGAAAUAAUUCCCGGGUUCCUAAGUGAAUUUCCUGUUUGUUCACUUUUUUCCCUCUAAUAUACUCUUUGUGUUUGUGAAUGAAACAGAAUUAGGGCUAAUUUAGUUGAUUGGCUGCAAAACAAAAGUAUUCAGCGCGAAGAAUGGGAAAUGAGAAGGCCUUUCUGCAGUGUUACUUCUUUGCAUAAUUGUAAUGGAUUAUAAUUAUACAGUUGGGCGUCGAGCCGUGGGUUUGCCGUAAACACGGGCAUGUGAAAUGUCUGCCUGCUCCCUCCUGCCGGCUUGAGGCCUGGUGUGGCCCUGCUGAUGGCUGCUCCAGCAUCUCCAGCCCUGUCCUCUCCUCCGGCAGGGUGGUGUGGUAGCGGUGGCGCCGCCGCCUUCGCUCCCCUUCCCAGCUCCUCCCACAAAAUUACCGCCGGUCGAUGCGGCCAUGUCAGGCUGUUGACACAAAUCAAUGGGAUCAAUCACUCCUCAGCUCCUACACGGAGCUGAGAGCUCCUUUUUCCCUUCAGCAAGCGCCCCGGCAGUGCUUGCUGAAGGGAAAACGUGUGCCACAAUGGUUUAGGGGUAGACGAGGGGACCCUGUCCUGCGAAGGAUCAGUUCUCCAAGGCUGUAAAAACAGCAUGGUGUAUAUAUACGUGGUUUAAAUGUUUUUUUGCUUCUGCCAAAUGCAUUUUUUCCUGCAUUUGCAGCUGGAUGUGAGUGCUGGGAGCGGGCUGGCGAGGUUCCCCUGGCCGUAGCAGCGGGCUGGCGCGUCCCUUGGGCGUGCAAGAUUAAGGCAGUGGAGCUCAUUUUUAUUUCAUUCACGUGGCCAUGGGGCAAGUGUAGAUACAAAUCCUCAUUUUCUUCUCUUCAUUUAGAAGAUCUUAACUUCUUCUGAUCCAUUUUUUUUUGCCCUGCAAAUGAUGGCAGACUUUUAUCACAAUCGUGCAAUCGUGUAGUUGAGCAUGGCUGCUAGAAAGCCCAUCAAAACCCUACUUGCUGCAGCCUACAAGAAGGAAAUCAGAGGCUGCUUCUGGAAGUCAGGACCUUCAUCUGAAGGGGAGGACAAAUCUUUGCGCUGAUGUCUGCUUCUGUAUCCGAGAAGGCUUGCUUGGGUGUGCCUGCUCAUGGACUCAGUCAGCUGCUGCGGGAAGAUAAACACAUAAAUGUUUCAUCUUGAUUUGCCACCAACCAUUGUGCUGGGUGCUAGCAGAUUUUUUUAAUUAAAUAUAAUUUAUCUAAUCCUAGUGAGAAACAUAAUUACAGGAUUUAUUUUGUAUACAGCGAUUUUAGAAUUACUUAAUAAAGCAGAGUAACACUUCCCCCUCAAGGGCUGUUUAAAAACGAACAAACAAAAUCAAAAAACAAACUGCACUUCGCUAAAAGUAAUAAAUCUCAGGCAGGAAGCAAAGAACGGCAUCUAAUAUGUUGGAGCUGCAAUAAAGCCGAAAAUUAAUAAUCGGUAAGUUGGUGCUGCAAGAGAGCGACUGCGCUGUGGAUUUGAGGAAAUGCCUACAGCUUACUGAGUGGCAGCACAAAGUUUUGCAUAAGCAGGAGAAAGCCCUGAUCAGAAAAUGUAAAACCGUGCGAUCCUCAGCCUGAAGAGCCAGUGCCACAGAGGAUGUGGAGCUGUGUGCGCAGCUGAAACGUAAGAAGGUGCUUUGCAAGAUCAGGGGCUGAAAUUGCACGCUAAACUUCUUUAGUUUCUGCUCAGAGGGGUUUAAGCGUUGCAGGAAGGAGUCUCGGGGAGAGAUUUAGUGUGCUGUGAAACCCUCACACGGGAAGGUUCGUGUGGCUGUUUAAAAUCAUGUAAAACAAAUAGCAGCCCUCCACCCUCCCGCUCCCCCUCCCGCUUUCCUUUCCCCCUGAAUCCGAAAGGUAAGGCUACUCCUUGAGUUGUAAUGGAAUAAUAUAUCAAGUGAGUGAUCGCAUCAGGCAUGGACACUUACCAAAUCACAGUGAGAUAACUGUGAAUAACUCUCUAGUUUCAACAAUUUGCAUGGCCAUUAACAAUUGAUGGGCUUCCCUCAGAACCGCAUUAUCUGUGGCAGCAGGAUCUAUUCCCGCGGACGGCUCCUGCAUGCUAAGUGCCAGGGAAUUGCUCCAGAGAAGGGCUAAUAAAAAUCUGACGGCAGCAAGGUGAGCAGAACAGGUAGGGAUUUAAGGGUGACAUUUUCUUGAAGGCGGGGAAGGAUUUCGGGCAGUUGUUCAUUUCGCUCUCUCCCCUCCCCAGCUGCUUUUUCAAAUACAGCUCUGCAAAUCUUCGUGCAGGCUUCUGUGAGCUUUCCCUUGGCUGCUUGGCGCGUUCCCAGGCUGCAUGGCUGGCUUUGGCACGUGGAUCAGUUUAAGACACGUUUUAACAAACAUUUUGGUUUAGGUUUGGAUUGGCCACGUGUCUCGAGCAGCUUUCAGGCAUAUUUGACAAAAAGAUGAAGCCGGGGUAAAUUUAGCAGCGCUGGGUUGCUAGAUGGCUCUUUUAUGGGAGCGCUUUUGAGGAGGUGUCAAAAAUGUGUUUUCCUUGUGAGAAUCGUGCCACCCUUUCAGUGAGCACGCUGCGAGCCCCGCGCUCUCUGCUUUCAUCUCCGGCUUGCAGUAUGUCAGCUCUUGCCAGAUCCCUCUGUCAAGUUGACUUUUGCAGCCCCAAACCUCAUCUCUUCUCUCUUUUUCCUUCUCUUGAGCACGCUCUCCCUGCUCCCCCCUUUCCUUUUCAUGGCUGCUGAUGCAAGAGCAAAGAGCGAAGUGGUGGAGGGGAAGCGUGACCCGUCGCAGCGGUGAGCCCCUGGGGCUCAUGGAGGAUGUCGGGGAGGCACCAGAGCCCAUGGUGCCAGCACAAAUAAUAAAACCUUAGAUGUGUUUUGUAGAAAAUGCCUUCUGCAGGUGUGCCACGUUGCAGUGCUGCACAGGAGGCGCUCAUUCCCUCGGAGAUGAUAAAACCACAGCUCUCCGAGGGGCUUCGUUAAACUCCGCGUGUGUCUCCUGGUGCAGAGCUCCUGAUGCCUGCUCCUGCUCUGAAGUCUUGGUUCUCAGCGUGUUGAAAAACGAUUGCAUCUUGCACCUGACAGCCUUCGCAGGACUCUUCAUCACCACCUCCAGCCUUCUGAUGGCUGCUUUGGUUCGUGCUGCUGCAAGCCAAAAUAAUAACAACGAUAAUAAUAACAAAUGCAGCAAUUAGGACCUGUGUCCUUUGGCUUUGGGCUUAGAAAUAACUGCAAACUUUAAUAACAACUGGUUUUCAGCUUUUGUUCUGUUAGUCCUUCCUGGUGGCCUGUAAUAAUCCUUUCUAGCAAAGAAAAAGUUUCAUAUUCUUUCAUUUUUAAUGAAAAUUUUUCUGCCACGGGUCAUGCUCAAUUAAUUAGCGGUGAGAUCUGUGUUGCAUGUGUCUAGAACUGGAGAGCUGAGGAUUUAGAGGUAGUGGUGUGGUCCCAGAUUGCUCUGACCCUUUGGUUACUGGUUAGAACAAAGCCUCGUUACUUCACCUUUAUUCUCGGGAUGACCGUCUUUCACAAUAAUCAAUGCACUGAUUGCUGUAAUUGCCUUUUGUGGUACUGUGGGCUUACAAUUAACUGGCUGGGCUAAUAAAGCGUGGAAUGUAAUUAAUAUUUGUAAACAAACUUCAUUAGGAAGAAGCUUAGGUUGAGAAUAGGCGCUGGUUGGUGGAGAGGAGCCCUGUCCUUUGUAUUAGUAAUUACAGCAUAGGGAAACCUGGAAAUGGACAGGUCAACGUGGAAACCAUUCCUCUGUUACAUAUCCGGCAUUUACUGCUGCACAGAGCCUUUAAAAUCCCUGUAUUUAAAAAAAAAUACAUAUGUAUUUCUAGGAGAAGAUUCCCCUGGAAUGAGAUCCUGCUACAGACUGGAGUUGCAUUUGCAGGAUGUUAACAUUAAAGCUGUGUCGGGCGCGAUGCUGAAAGCUGGACCGACAGCACAGGGCUGGCAGUGGCCUUAAGAAAGAAGAGCCCAUUGUCCCCCCACGAUUGGAUCUUAAUGCAAUUAAAGUGAAAAAGGAAACCACCAUUGAAAAUAGGAAAUGGAUUUCCUAGCGGUGCCUCCGCGGGGGUGGAUGGCUGACAUCUGGCUGUUGCUGAGAAGUUGGAUGGCUUUUAUUUUGCUUGAGGAGCUGCGUCCGAUUCUUGCCUUUGUGUUCGUGUGUGCUCUGCGUGCCUCCCUCCCGUUGUCCUCCCUGUGUUUCGGAUGCACGUUCCUGGUCCCAGGCAUGGGCUUUGGUCCUGCACACUUCUGUAAGACUUGAGUCUAGCGAGCGAAGAGCGGAGGAAUCCCUCCCACUUCGGAGUGUCAGCGCCGCCACUUUGGCUGGUAGCUUUGUGUUAAGGUUGCCAGAAAUCCCUUUACACCUCCUUGCCUUCUCCUGUGCCAUCGUUUGAGCUCACAGCCUUAUUUUUAAGCUGUUUUGCUGUUUGUUUUUUUUUCUUUUGUUAAGCAUGGGUUUUCUUGGUUGAGCCUGUGUGUCAUUUUAGCAGCAGUAGCAUUAAAUUCCUCACCCUCCUUUUUUAAGCUUUUGGAUGUCUGUGGAGUUAGUUAUUGCCUUUUUUUUUAUUAUUUUUUUUUCUAGAAAAAUUCCCAUCUAAAGAGCCUGUUUUGCAGAGCACUGGCUCAAGGCCCUGCGUGUUAGGCUGGGGGCUGGCUCUUCUUGCCGUGGGAGCUUGGGGGCAAGGGGGUCUUUCAGCAGCAGCAGUUCAUACAUUUGCUUCCUACCUGCUGGUUUCAAACAGUAUUAAUUUUUAUGCGUUUAUUGUGUUUAAUUAAAAGCAGUGCUGCUUACGGCAGUGCUCGUGGAGACUCAUCCCUCCCCCCUUCCCCCCAAUGAAACAAAUAGGCAUCUGGUAUUUGUUUUGUAUAACACAAUCCUCAUAAAACGAAGAGUAAUAAAACAUAAUUAUCUGUAAAGGCUGGUUUUAUAAGCCUAAGAAUGAGCUCGUUUCUGCCUCAUUUUGCUCUGUUUGUAAGAUAAAGGGUCUCUUUGUAUGGCUUUAGCCCCUCUCCAGGUUAGGAGAGCAUCACUAACAAUAGGGUUUUAAAAUUCUCGGGGAUGGGUGCAAGUCAGUGGGAGCAUGUACACAGGAGAAGGCACCGACAUAUCUGCAGGGCUGGAGGAGAUGCUUUUUGUGUUCCUGUAGGAAAAAUUCCCUUCCAGACAAUGGCUUUUACUUGAAAGCUUUGGUAAAGUAGGGGGAGAAAUCUGUAGACCAUGACGACGAGGAAUAAAGGUCAAAGUUUCUGUG